GAUGAACGCUGGCGGCGUGCCUAAUACAUGCAAGUCGAGCGAACAGACGAGGAGCUUGCUCUUCUGACGUUAGCGGCGGACGGGUGAGUAACACGUGGAUAACCUACUUAUAAGACUGGGAUAACUUCGGGAAACCGGAGCUAAUACCGGAUAAUAUAUUGAACCGCAUGGUUCAAUAGUGAAAGACGGUUUUGCUGUCACUUAUAGAUGGAUCCGCGCCGCAUUAGCUAGUUGGUAAGGUAACGGCUUACCAAGGCAACGAUGCGUAGCCGACCUGAGAGGGUGAUCGGCCACACUGGAACUGAGACACGGUCCAGACUCCUACGGGAGGCAGCAGUAGGGAAUAUUGCGCAAUGGGCGAAAGCUUGACGGAGCAACGCCGCGUGAGUGAUGAAGGUCUUCGGAUCGUAAAACUCUGUUAUUAGGGAAGAAAAAAUGUGUGAGUAACUAUGCACGUCUUGACGGUACCUAAUCAGAAAGCCACGGCUAACUACGUG
rnacentral:rRNA from 1 species